rnacentral:rRNA from 1 species
UACGAAGGGGGCUAGCGUUGCUCGGAAUUACUGGGCGUAAAGCGCACGUAGGCGGGUCGUUAAGUCAGGGGUGAAAUCCUGGAGCUCAACUCCAGAACUGCCUUUGAUACUGGGAGGCUCGAGUCCGGGAGAGGUGAGUGGAACUGCGAGUGUAGAGGUGAAAUUCGUAGAUAUUCGCAAGAACACCAGUGGCGAAGGCGGCUCACUGGCCCGGUACUGACGCUGAGGUGCGAAAGCGUGGGGAGCAAACAGG